rnacentral:lncRNA from 1 species
ACAAAAUGCAGAAAUUCAAACUUGAAGCAAAUAACAAUUUUUAUGGUUUUUUUUUUUUUAUAAUUGAAAACUAGCAAGGAAUGAAAAGAACAAAGAUAGAUAUGGAUUGAUAUCACCUGAUACAGGAGCUUUAAGCUCUGAUACCAAAUGUUACAGGCUGGGAAGCUGGGUCGAUGAGAUGGAUGGGCGAUGGGUUGAUCUUAUCGGUAAGGAUGAAGACCGGAUAGAAAGAUGGUGAAGAUGGACGACUUGCUGUUCCUUUUAAUCCAAUCUAACCUGGAAACAAUGAAGAACAAUGAGUUUAUGAAUAAUUAAAAUAAGAACAGAAACUGAAAAGAUAUAGGGAUGGAAUGAUUGAUGAAUAGUUGUUUGAAGAUGGAAGAUGGAUAGAUGAUGUUGGAUAGAAGAUGAUUGACUCUCUCAAUCCGUGGGUGCUGAUUGACUCUCUCAAUCUGUGUCUCAAGGCUCCUGUAUCACACAAAGAACCUAUGAACCACGAACUCAAUAGCUUUCUAAUGUAUCUCACACUUAGAAACUAAAGAACAGAUUUUUAUGCAAAGAAAUUCUUUGAUAAAAGAUAAACUGAAUAUUAUUUCUUAAGGAUUGAAAGGUGGUUUUUACAAUGCACGACCAUGAGCUUAUAUAGUGCUCAGAAACAAUAAAACUAUGCUAGAAAUCAGAAAGAAAAUCAAGAAUAAAAGGAAGUAGCCGUUAGGCUUUAAAUGGCUUGCUUGGCCAAAAAUAAGGAAGGUGAUAAUUCUCUUGAGUCUUGAGAGUUUUGUGGGAAAACUCUGAUGUCUUGGAACGUCUAGAUUCAUUCUGAAUGUGUUCAGAAGGCAGUAGUCGAAGCAAUAGAGCCGUUGGUCUUCAGAGCUUCUUUUUGGGAAAACAUACCGAUAUGGUAAGUUGUUGUAAAUGAAGAUCCUGCUGAUCCUAUGCUUGCUGGUGUAGGGAAAUAUAAGGGGAGGCUCUUCUGGACGGUUGGAUGUGUAUUCUGGAAGCCUUGGAUCAUGUAGAAUACGUCCUGGUUGGUUGAGCUCGGUUUGGAAACAAUUGGACCAGUUGAUUGUCCAA